rnacentral:rRNA from 1 species
GGGUUGUGAGGUUAAGCGACUAAGCGUACACGGUGGAUGCCCUGGCAGUCAGAGGCGAUGAAGGACGUGCUAAUCUGCGAUAAGCGUCGGUAAGGUGAUAUGAACCGUUAUAACCGGCGAUUUCCGAAUGGGGAAACCCAGUGUGUUUCGACACACUAUCAUUAACUGAAUCCAUAGGUUAAUGAGGCGAACCGGGGGAACUGAAACAUCUAAGUACCCCGAGGAAAAGAAAUCAACCGAGAUUCCCCCAGUAGCGGCGAGCGAACGGGGAGCAGCCCAGAGCCUGAAUCAGUGUGUGUGUUAGUGGAAGCGUCUGGAAAGGCGCGCGAUACAGGGUGACAGCCCCGUACACAAAAAUGCACAUGCUGUGAGCUCGAUGAGUAGGGCGGGACACGUGGUAUCCUGUCUGAAUAUGGGGGGACCAUCCUCCAAGGCUAAAUACUCCUGACUGACCGAUAGUGAACCAGUACCGUGAGGGAAAGGCGAAAAGAACCCCGGCGAGGGGAGUGAAAAAGAACCUGAAACCGUGUACGUACAAGCAGUGGGAGCACGCUUAGGCGUGUGACUGCGUACCUUUUGUAUAAUGGGUCAGCGACUUAUAUUCUGUAGCAAGGUUAACCGAAUAGGGGAGCCGAAGGGAAACCGAGUCUUAACUGGGCGUUAAGUUGCAGGGUAUAGACCCGAAACCCGGUGAUCUAGCCAUGGGCAGGUUGAAGGUUGGGUAACACUAACUGGAGGACCGAACCGACUAAUGUUGAAAAAUUAGCGGAUGACUUGUGGCUGGGGGUGAAAGGCCAAUCAAACCGGGAGAUAGCUGGUUCUCCCCGAAAGCUAUUUAGGUAGCGCCUCGUGAAUUCAUCUCCGGGGGUAGAGCACUGUUUCGGCAAGGGGGUCAUCCCGACUUACCAACCCGAUGCAAACUGCGAAUACCGGAGAAUGUUAUCACGGGAGACACACGGCGGGUGCUAACGUCCGUCGUGAAGAGGGAAACAACCCAGACCGCCAGCUAAGGUCCCAAAGUCAUGGUUAAGUGGGAAACGAUGUGGGAAGGCCCAGACAGCCAGGAUGUUGGCUUAGAAGCAGCCAUCAUUUAAAGAAAGCGUAAUAGCUCACUGGUCGAGUCGGCCUGCGCGGAAGAUGUAACGGGGCUAAACCAUGCACCGAAGCUGCGGCAGCGACGCUUAUGCGUUGUUGGGUAGGGGAGCGUUCUGUAAGCCUGUGAAGGUGUGCUGUGAGGCAUGCUGGAGGUAUCAGAAGUGCGAAUGCUGACAUAAGUAACGAUAAAGCGGGUGAAAAGCCCGCUCGCCGGAAGACCAAGGGUUCCUGUCCAACGUUAAUCGGGGCAGGGUGAGUCGACCCCUAAGGCGAGGCCGAAAGGCGUAGUCGAUGGGAAACAGGUUAAUAUUCCUGUACUUGGUGUUACUGCGAAGGGGGGACGGAGAAGGCUAUGUUGGCCGGGCGACGGUUGUCCCGGUUUAAGCGUGUAGGCUGGUUUUCCAGGCAAAUCCGGAAAAUCAAGGCUGAGGCGUGAUGACGAGGCACUACGGUGCUGAAGCGACAAAUGCCCUGCUUCCAGGAAAAGCCUCUAAGCAUCAGGUAACAUCAAAUCGUACCCCAAACCGACACAGGUGGUCAGGUAGAGAAUACCAAGGCGCUUGAGAGAACUCGGGUGAAGGAACUAGGCAAAAUGGUGCCGUAACUUCGGGAGAAGGCACGCUGAUAUGUAGGUGAAGUCCCUCGCGGAUGGAGCUGAAAUCAGUCGAAGAUACCAGCUGGCUGCAACUGUUUAUUAAAAACACAGCACUGUGCAAACACGAAAGUGGACGUAUACGGUGUGACGCCUGCCCGGUGCCGGAAGGUUAAUUGAUGGGGUCAGCGCAAGCGAAGCUCUUGAUCGAAGCCCCGGUAAACGGCGGCCGUAACUAUAACGGUCCUAAGGUAGCGAAAUUCCUUGUCGGGUAAGUUCCGACCUGCACGAAUGGCGUAAUGAUGGCCAGGCUGUCUCCACCCGAGACUCAGUGAAAUUGAACUCGCUGUGAAGAUGCAGUGUACCCGCGGCAAGACGGAAAGACCCCGUGAACCUUUACUAUAGCUUGACACUGAACAUUGAGCCUUGAUGUGUAGGAUAGGUGGGAGGCUUAGAAGUGUGGACGCCAGUCUGCAUGGAGCCGACCUUGAAAUACCACCCUUUAAUGUUUGAUGUUCUAACGUUGACCCGUAAUCCGGGUUGCGGACAGUGUCUGGUGGGUAGUUUGACUGGGGCGGUCUCCUCCUAAAGAGUAACGGAGGAGCACGAAGGUUGGCUAAUCCUGGUCGGACAUCAGGAGGUUAGUGCAAUGGCAUAAGCCAGCUUGACUGCGAGCGUGACGGCGCGAGCAGGUGCGAAAGCAGGUCAUAGUGAUCCGGUGGUUCUGAAUGGAAGGGCCAUCGCUCAACGGAUAAAAGGUACUCCGGGGAUAACAGGCUGAUACCGCCCAAGAGUUCAUAUCGACGGCGGUGUUUGGCACCUCGAUGUCGGCUCAUCACAUCCUGGGGCUGAAGUAGGUCCCAAGGGUAUGGCUGUUCGCCAUUUAAAGUGGUACGCGAGCUGGGUUUAGAACGUCGUGAGACAGUUCGGUCCCUAUCUGCCGUGGGCGCUGGAGAACUGAGGGGGGCUGCUCCUAGUACGAGAGGACCGGAGUGGACGCAUCACUGGUGUUCGGGUUGUCAUGCCAAUGGCACUGCCCGGUAGCUAAAUGCGGAAGAGAUAAGUGCUGAAAGCAUCUAAGCACGAAACUUGCCCCGAGAUGAGUUCUCCCUGACUCCUUGAGAGUCCUGAAGGAACGUUGAAGACGACGACGUUGAUAGGCCGGGUGUGUAAGCGCAGCGAUGCGUUGAGCUAACCGGUACUAAUGAACCGUGAGGCUUAACCUUACAACGCCGAAGCUGUU